AAAAAUUGCCAGUGUAAUUUCAUUCUAAUGAAAAACACGGGAUGAAUUCUGCAUAACAACAAUAUGACAAAAAUCAUGGUGAAGAAGAGGAGGGAAAGCAGAAAGUGGCUGGUGCUGAAAGGCCAACGGGUUGCCAGGUGGUUUCUGCCUCAGUCAGCUACAUUUGAUCCCACCCCCCCAUUUCUUUGGGAGAAUCUGAUAGCAGAGCUCCUGUUGAUUUAAUGGGGUCCAGGAUUUUGGUCGAGUUGCUCUUGUUCUGUGCUGGAAUGAGGCAUCUGGGGCUCUCCCCUGGAAUGGCGCUGCGCACUGUGGCUUUCCUGCACUCCAGAACUAUAAGUGAAACAUUUUCCUAAAGCAUCUCUGAAGAGCUGUGUCUGGUUAGUGCUUUAUUGCUAGCUGUUCAGCUCCAUUUAAUCACUCCUCACUUCUGUUACAUUUUUAACCUGUGCUUUCUGUUUUGUGCCUGACAUAGGGGUCAGUUUUUCUGCCAAAGCUGUUAUGCAGUCUGACUGGGAAGAGGAGGAGUAGCAAUCUGAUCCGGUUGAAAGUAAUCAGCCAUUAGUUUCUCCAGAGGUUUUUACUUUUAAGGGAGCAUUGUGCAUUUGUGGUGUGAGUGAUUUACAUACGUUCACACUCAUCAGAAAAUAAUAGCCGUUGUAAGCGUGAGAUGUCCUUGCUAGGAUGAAUUCUGUUCCCACCUCAAAUAGCAGCCUCUUAAGCUUUACAUUUUUGCAUAUUUAGGCUCUAUUUUUCUCACACGUAGUGGGUUCUUUGGAGUCAGAUGAAGACUGCUGAAAACAUGGGUCAUCUCCAUCAGGACAAAGUAGUUUGACAUCCAGACCUGGGUUGUCAUUAAGAUAGUGCUGAGUUGUUCUUCCUAUUCCAGAAGCUGUGCCAUGGCUCUGCAUUGGGUGGCAUUCCCCAAAAUGGUCCCUCAUCCAGGCAUUGCUGUGUCAGCAUGUCAGAGCACAGUGCUCAGCCCUGCAGGCCUGAUAGGAAGUGAAUUAUGUGGGUUAUUCAUUGUUUGUUAACAUCAGGCAUGUUGCCAACAGCUCAAUAAUUGUUUGGUCAAACUCAGAUUUUUUUAAAGAAAAUAAAAGCUUUUAAUAGUAUCCCUGCAGAAUAUUUUCAAUAUUCUUCUAUGCGAGGCUUAUAUUCCAUAAGCACAAGAAACUGUUCUUAAAUAUUCCCAAAGUCACUGUGAGGAAGUACAUUAUGCCUAAUUCCUGGUCAGAUAGCAGUUAUCUUGCCACU
rnacentral:lncRNA from 1 species